rnacentral:RNase_P_RNA from 1 species
GGAGUAGGCGAGGUGGUUGCUCCUUUGUCUCUUUUGAAGGGCAAAGGGGAGGAAAGUCCGAACUCCAAAGAGCAGGAUGGUCGCUAACAGCGACUCCGGGCAACCGGAGGAAAGUGCCACAGAAAACAUACCGCCCUGCGAGAGCGGAGAAUCGUCCCUUUCGCGGAGUAAGGGUGAAAUGGUGAGGUAAGAGCUCACCGCCUUGGUGGCGACAUCAGGGGCAUGGCAAACCCCAUCCGGAGCAAGACCAAAUUGGCCCCGGUUGAGGCGGCUCGUCUCGAGGGGCGGGUAGGUCGCUUGAUUCCUUGAGCAAUCAAGGAGCCAGACAAAUAACCACCCACGCUUAUAGCAAGCGGGAACAGAAUUCGGCUUAUGUCCUGCUCCAGUC